CGAGGGUAUUCAGCUGAAUAUUUAACUUCCAAGUAUUCAGACUUGGCUGGAACAUCCGGGAUCUCAAACGCAUAGUAUUUUUCCACUUUCUUGGAUUUGAACUUCAUAAUCUUAUACUUUGGUGAAAUGCAGUCAUUAAAUUCCUUGAAAACAUUCAUUAUGGUUACUGGAGUCUCUGUCUCUUUCCCACUGGAUAGAUCCAUCUCUGUUUCACGUGGCAGUAGAUAAACAGUUCUCUCAAUGUUUUUCACCGUCACACAACAGCUGACAUAGGUGUUCGCCGAUUCAAUCCAAACUUUGCCAAACAAAAAUACCACACCUGGCUGACUGUACUGAUCUUCAUAAGCAUCCAGCCAAUAAAAUCUUAAGACUUGAUCAUCAUUUUCCCCAUUCACAAGUGGAAGGAGAUUGGGGUCCAACUGAACAUCUGUCGCCACCAGAUCAGCUUCAUCCUCCUCUACUUUGUCCCAACAUGAGAUAUCUGGGAGAGAAUGACUUAAGGCAGAUGCCUCUUUCUUCUUAGAUUCCAGCUGCUCCAUCUCUUUCUUUUCAACUUCCUUGUCUCUUUUCAAGGUUUCAGCUGUCUCAGGUACAGCUCCCAUUAGCUCUGCUUCCAUAGGUUCAUCAAAGUCCUCAUCAUCAAAAUCCAUCAUCCCCUGAUCAUCAUCUUCAAUAGCUUUUUCUUCUUUUGUCUUCACUACUCUCCCAUUUUCUGUAGCUUUCUGCACAUACUUGGUAUCCUCAUUCUCUUCAGAGGCUGUGACAGAUUUUGCUGUGUAAUUUGGAUGUUUAGGAUGAAAUGAAGCUGGAGGACGAGCUUCUUUCCUGAGUUGAACAGGAGCUUUCUUUGAUACAGGGGUGAUUACCUUAGGAGACUGGCGCUGUACAGAGAAAGGAUUCAGUGGCAUUCCAGCAGAUCUUUUCCUUUUCAGCACUAAAAUCGGUGGUGGACUUAGCUGAACAGUUUCAGCAUUUAGAUCUUGAAGAAUAUCCCCUAGUAAAUCAUCCUUUGACAGGUCCACAGUUUUGUCCGUGUUUUUCUUCCCAGCACUGGCAAUAAACAUAGAUUUAAUUGUGUUUGGCUUUGCUACCACAGAUUUUUUCACAUUCUUUUUACCAAUUGUAGAAGUUUUGCCGGUUUUUCCUUUCUUACUGGAACCAAGAGCAUCAUCGUCUAGAUCUUCAUCAAAGAUUUCCCGUCCAUCUUCUACAUAACCUAUCCCAUCAUCAUCAACAAUCCAGUCAUCAUCCUGACGUUCUCUGACUAUCUUGGAGUACUGUUCUUCAUCUAUUUCAUCGUAAACACCAGUGAACUCCUCAACCUCGUAUUUUAAUUUUUCCCCAGCUUUGGCCUUUUUCAGACGUUCCAGUGCUUCUUGCUGACCUCUUUUUGACUUCCUCUCACGCCUAGAACGUGACGUUGCAAAGCUCCCAGACUCAGGCAUCGCAUCCUCAGCCAUGGCGCCCGCGCGCGCGCCGCUCGCG
rnacentral:lncRNA from 1 species